rnacentral:rRNA from 1 species
CAUUCACGGAGAGUUUGAUCCUGGCUCAGGACGAACGCUGGCGGCGUGCUUAACACAUGCAAGUCGAACGAUGAACCGCUUUCGGGCGGGGAUUAGUGGCGAACGGGUGAGUAACACGUGGGCAAUCUGCCCUGCACUCUGGGACAAGCCCUGGAAACGGGGUCUAAUACCGGAUAUGACUGUCCAUCGCAUGGUGGAUGGUGUAAAGCUCCGGCGGUGCAGGAUGAGCCCGCGGCCUAUCAGCUUGUUGGUGAGGUAGUGGCUCACCAAGGCGACGACGGGUAGCCGGC